rnacentral:rRNA from 1 species
UACAGAGGUCUCAAGCGUUGUUCGGAUUCAUUGGGCGUAAAGGGUGCGUAGGUGGCGCGCUAAGUCAGGUGUGAAAUCUCGGAGCUUAACUCCGAAACUGCAUUUGAUACUGGCGUGCUUGAGGACUGGAGAGGAGACUGGAAUUCACGGUGUAGCAGUGAAAUGCGUAGAUAUCGUGAGGAAGACCAGUGGCGAAGGCGGGUCUCUGGACAGUUCCUGACACUGAGACACGAAGGCCAGGGGAGCAAACGGG